rnacentral:rRNA from 1 species
GACGAACGCUGGCGGCGUGCCUAAUACAUGCGAGUCGUGCGGACCUUGUUGAAAGCUUGCUUUUAAAAGGUUAGCGGCGGACGGGUGAGUAACACGUGGGCAACCUGCCUGUAAGACUGGGAUAACGCCGGGAAACCGGGGCUAAUACCAGAUCGUUUUUUCCUCCGCAUGGAGGAAAAAGGAAAGGCGGCUUCGGCUGCCACUUACAGAUGGGCCCGCGGCGCAUUAGCUAGUUGGCGGGGUAAUGGCCCACCAAGGCAACGAUGCGUAGCCGACCUGAGAGGGUGAUCGGCCACAUUGGGACUGAGACACGGCCCAAACUCCUACGGGAGGCAGCAGUAGGGAAUCUUCCGCAAUGGACGAAAGUCUGACGGAGCAACGCCGCGUGAGUGAAGAAGGCCUUCGGGUCGUAAAACUCUGUUGCCGGGGAAGAACAAGUGCCGUUCGAACAGGGCGGCGCCUUGACGGUACCCGGCCAGAAAGCCACGGCUAACUACGUG